rnacentral:lncRNA from 1 species
GGUGGGGUGUGGAAGAAGGUUGUGUCAUGUGGACAGGCGAUGUCCUGGCUGUGCUGAGUGACAUGGGGGUCUGGGUGGUGGCACUGGUGGUCAUGGUUAGCGGAGGAGUGGAGUGUGUGGUUCCAGUAACCACGGUGGCUGGAUGGGUGGUACUGGUUGGCCUCAUGGUGGAAGCAGAAGAGACCGUGUGUGGGCUGGCUGGCGUGCUGGGAGAGGUGGGUGCUACUGAGGUCGUCGUGAGGGUUGGAGAGACACUGGGAGGUAGGGUCUGGGGUUCAGAUGUGGUUGGAAAGGUGCUGGUGGUCGUGAGCGACGUUCCCGAGGUGGGUUCCGUUGUUUGUGGAGGGUGGGACACGGGCAGCGUGCGUGCGCUAUGGCUGGGUGAAUGGGUCUGCAGCGUGCUUGACGUGAUUUCCGUGUGUUGCAUUGUUGAUGCUGUCGCGGUGCCCCUGCUCUCCCUGGUAUGCUGUGUGGCCAGGGCGGUCUCUCCCAAAGUGUAUUGUUCUGUUGUCUGUGUGAGUGUGACCGGCCCUGUUCCUGGCAUUUUCUCUUGGGUGCUUGUCCCUGUGGGUGUAAAGGAGUGUCAUCAUGCAGUCUGUCUCUCCCUUUAGACCUCUGGUUUUUGCUCCCGUCUUGUUCCCUGUACCCCUUUCAGGCCAUCUGGGUUCCUUGAGCCAUUCAUAGGCGCUGUUACUCUGAACUUGAGGUUCCUCUUCCU